CUCCAUUUUAAUGCCCUCAAAAGCAAUUCCUCUCCUACAAGGUCCCAGCAACACAAGAGGACCCACACUUAUUUUCUGACCGAGCUUCAGAUAGUAGCCUCUCACCACUUUCCUUGGCCAUGCUACCCUCACUUCCCGACAGACUUUCCUCAGUUUACCUUCCUGCCUGAGCUUCCAGAUCAUCUCCCAUAUAUUAGCCUUUGCUGAAGGCUCCUUGUCUUUCAUUUCAGACCUUCUUGGCAUCUGUUCUCAGGUGUCAGAGAUAGCCAUGCCCUGGACACUGCUGAGUCAACUCUGCUAGUAGAAGUCUCUAACAUCAGGUCCCACCACUCCCCAGCUGCCUCAUCUGACACAGCAUAAUGUGCCCUUCUAAAUGAGCCUCCAAAUGGCAUUGUAAUGAAGAAGGCUGAACCUCAGCCAGAGACCAAAGUGGUCAGGACAGGACAGAACCAAGAAGACACUUAGCAAGAACCAGGGAUCCCAGAACAGAAACCAGAGUAAAGGGGGAUUUAAACAACAUAGAGGAAAAUUUGGAUCAAAUUUUCAAGAUCAGGAAGUACCAGUCCAAGUUGUCUGUUGAGUUUGAAAGAAAGCUAGAAAUGUACAGUGAGGAUCAGAUCUCAUAGACCCUAAGUGCCAGACCAGAACAUUUUAAUUUGGUACAGUUAGAAAUAGGAAGCCAUUAUAGAUGCUUGAACAAAGCUGCCCAGGAACAUGAAGAAGGCACAGACUGGAAUGUUGGAGACUUGAGUCUGAGGUUCUCGCUUUGUCACUAGAGGGCUGGUGGCUGUAGAUACCUCUAGAUGCCUCUCUUCCCCAAUCUGUCACAGAAAAAUUAUGUGUCAGUGUCAAGUGGUCUUAGAAGCCCCUCUCAGCUCUUGGACUCCAUAGCACAGACAGUUUUGACCUGAAUAACUUGAGCUUUCCUCCAUCUACCCACCAUCUCUAUCCCCCAUUGCCUAUCCCCAGUCUGCUGAUAAUCAGGGCUCUAGAGGGUUACCUCUUGUGUCCCAUCUGUUGGAACACAGCCAUAGAGAGAGGCAUGCUCCUGCCACAUGUGCUCUUGUUUAUUCUUGAUGCUUUACAGAGAGCUGAGGAAAAGGGGGAGGGAAGGAGAGGGCCUCCUUGAAGGAUCAGUUUCAAGUAUUAUUGUCCCAGUCCAUAUGUAGGGACUGGGCCCAAGCACAGCAGACAGUCAGCCUGUGGGAAAACUUGGACCUUUUGCCAACUAGAAUCCUCCAAAGGUCAAAUUAAAGACUUGGAAUUUGAAAGAGAAACAAAUAAAAUGAACUGAGUAAGCAGAUCUCAACUGGUUGCCUUAGAUGGGUGAACAUGGCAAGGCCAUAUCUAAGCCAUUUGUGUUGGUUAGUAUAGGUUGGGCUAAGUCGUUGGGAGAUAAACUGUAAAAUUUCAAUAGCUCAUCAUAGUAAAGUUCAUUUAUUUGUUGACACUAACAACCUGAAAUUUGGGAUAAAAUAAAAAUGGCUUCCAUUUACUGAGUACCUAUUAUGUGCCCAGGACUAUUCAAGAUGCUUUAUGUAAAUUAUGCCCUUUUUACACAUGAAAAAAUUGAAACUUAGAGAGGUGAAUGACUAAGUUCAGAUAACUAACAAAUGGCAGAUCUGGGUACUGAAAUCCACGACUAUCUAGCUGCAUGGCCUGUGCUCCUUCCCUUACCCCACACUGCCUCCCCAGUGGCCCUCUCCCUUACCCAUAUUAUUCAGACACAUCUUCCAAGGGAGAGGAUGAGGAAAGGAAAUUAUUGGGCAAAUGACCUAAGAAUGUUUUUUCAUAGAAAUGAUCUCCAUUGUUCUUUCAGCUUGGCCACUGUCAACAGUGCAGCUUAACUGCACUGCACAGCCCUCUAUUGUGUAUUUGUCUCCCUAGAUCAUAAGGAUCUUAAGGCCUUAGGACCCAAGGGCCCUGUGUCCCCAGCUGCUAGCACCAAUCCUGGCAGAGUGCCCAGAGAAUGUUUGUUCAUUGAUUAAAUGAAUGAGUGAGUGAACUCAUUCAGUUUUUGACAAUUUUGAGGAGUCUUCAGAUGAAUGGUUGAAAUCAGCUCAUAAAUCCUUAAGGAAAAAGUCUGUGCCCUAUUGCUUCUUAUAUUUCCUGCAUUUAACAUAAUAAUAGGCAUAGAUUAGCUCUUACCACCACCCUCAAUCACUGAAAAGUGGGCCCUAUUCCUCAUGCACUGAGAAUGAAGUUGGAGAAAUAGGGAGGAAGUGAAUUUGGGGGAUAUUGCAAGGUUACAAGAGGAUCUUAUUAGCCAUCUUAUUAGCCAUCAAGAUGUUAGAAGUAAGGGAAGAAAUACAUAAAAGAAAUAUAAGCAUACCUAUCUUCAGAGAUGACCUCAGACCCCUAGGAACUAUUUGGGUUAUGAGUAAAGAGUGUGUAAUGAUGUGUCCCCAGACCACCUCAGCCUGUGGGCACAAAUGGGGUCCCAUUUAUGGUAUUCACCUGUGAUUUGCUGGCUUACGCCCCUACCUGCCAAUGCAGGACUCCAGGCUCCUUCAAAGUCUUGCUUAGUUAUUUCUGGAAGUUUCAAAGUGACAUCACACAUAACUCACAAAGGAUGCAUUCCACUUUACAUGCCAUCUACCGUGUUGCUUCUUUCCUGCUCAGCCCCGCCCAUGAGGUUCCCUACUUCCUACUUCCUGUAAUUGAGAGUGCUCCACCCUAGUCAGUCCCAACACCCACCAGGAGAAAUCUGAUGACCAACCAAAGGACUAGCACAUGUCCCCUUUGUGCUGAUGUAGGCCUCCAAGGAUCUUCCUUGAUCAGACCUCUGCAAGAGCUGGCCCCAACCAUCCUUCACAAUAGACUGAAGCUGGGACCCUCACUGUUAAAGCAUGAAUAAAAUGACCUCUCUUA